rnacentral:tRNA from 1 species
GCGGGUGUAGUUCAAUGGUAGAACGAAAGCUUCCCAAGCUCUAGACGUGGGUUCGAUUCCCAUCACCCGCUCCA